rnacentral:sRNA from 1 species
UUCAAGUUCGCAGCCUAACUUAUUAGGCUGACGGCUGGUGAUUAUUUAAUCACCAGCCU